rnacentral:lncRNA from 1 species
CUCCUCUGCAAGAGGCGCCACCGCUCGGGAGCCGCGUUGAGCCGUUCACUGGCUGAGGUAGUAGUUUGUGUAGUUACAGGGCAGUCAUUUUUGCCCAUUGGAGAUAACUAUACAUUCUACUGCCUUGCCAGUGCAGCUUACCCACUACAGAGACGUCCACGCCACCAAGGACUGGUGCCAGCGUUAAUGAUGCGACAUCGGAUGGAAAUGCGACGGAGCUGCUAACGUCACCAAGUGUUGGACACUUCAUAAGAAGCAGUGAACUUCAGCUCUGCAGAUAGGAAACAGUCAAAAUCAUAUGAAUCUUUUUUUACGAUAACUCUUUGAACACUACUGCUCGAUUCCUGUGCUUUAAAUCCACAAUUUAGCGCAUUCUGGGAUUUGUAGUCUUGCUUACCCUAACUAGAACACACCGGGCUUGAACUUCUGACACCAAUGAUUUGUAAAAAGGAAAGUAAACACUGGAAAAGCUGCACUUUUUUCGACCCCAUAUAUGGGGCCAUUUGGUCCCUUAAUCUAAUCUAACAAUAUAAUAAAAGGCCAGAUGUAUGUUUGUCCAAUGCAGUCAUAGCUUCAGCUGUUGUCAACACUAGAGGGAGCUGUUGCCUUAGGAUAUAUUGAACCAAUGCCUAUUUGCAUUGCUUCGCCUGUGAUCACCACUAGAGGGAGCUGUUGCCUUAUGAUACAUAGUGGUCCUACUGUGUUAAUGAAAACCUACACUUUGGCCUGUGUAUACAGGCUUCUACACUAGUAACACAACAAUCUCCCAUUAGACUUCUCUUUGCCAAGUGAAAGAUGAACAGGCGGUCAGCUAGAAGAGGGGUUCAUAUUGUUAUAUGUGCAUUGUAUGAGGUGGGCAUGGCUUGAGAUAGCCUGUAUUCCAUGUGGUAUGGGGAUUUUGAGAUCGGAGGGCAUUAAUCGCCAUAGGCGGUGACAUAUUCAUAAUUUGGGAAGUAAGUGUUCAAGCUGAGGGGGUGUGUUAUGAAAAUUGUACAUUCUGUGAGGUAAUCCACUCGAGAUUGUUGUGCGAUGCGCGUGGCAUGUGUAUUAUGAUGAGAAAUUGUGGCGUCCAUUUACCUAAUUGAUAUGCGUAUUACGAGCGGUGACCAACGCUCAAAAGGGGUGUCUCAGCCUUGUGUCAGUUGCAGGGCUCAAGCCCAGGGUACACGCGGGUGGACAUAGUCCCCCCACUUUUUUGAGGAGUCCCCCACAUUUUUCAGAGGGCACCUUGAUAUGCUAAUUUCUGGUGACGUCACAUUCAAUUGGUAUGUUAAUGAGCCCCCCGCCCCCACACUUUUUUUUGGGGACUUGGUCAGUAUCAUGUGAAGCUCCGGGGAUAUGAUGUGACCCACGCGAUAGUGGUAUAACCCCUGAGAUGGGGGAGUUGUCCGUUUCAUUAGGGUACCCCGGAAAGGGCCACUAUUGACAUAAGAGUGUGACUACCAUCCUAAGUGUAUUAUGGGCAAUGAGCAUUUCUCGCAAGAGUCCUGUCAUCCAUGUGACAUGUAUGAUAUGGGAGGGGCACUUCCCGAUAUGAAGGGGCGAACCAUGUGAAACCAACCUUUGAUGUGAUGUAUUAAAUAUAUGUUUUGAAUCAUUAUUUUCAGGUUUGUGCGUAACUGAGGCAACCAUAUCGGCGUAUCAUUGCCACAUUUUCGAAAGUACACAAUCUGUGCACUCUUCUUUUUUUAAUAUUCGAUGUAAAUUUAAGCAGCAAACUAUGUGAGAUUAAAUUGGAUUUUUCCAUGUUUAUGAUAAUUUACAAGGAUUUGAUGCGUAUGAAAGUCAGUCUAAAUGUUACUGUAAAAUGCCUUCGAUUCAUGACAAGUCUAACUUUUACUGGAAAAUCUUUCUACAGUAAAAUUGCGGAUGCUGUUCAUAUGAACUAAAGUAUGAUUUUAUUUUUAUGCAAGUGAGAUGUUGAUGGUUAGUCUGUCCAAAGCCGCUCUUGUUCUCUGCACAAGGCCGGAUACGCCAUCCCGGACUUCCUGUGAUGUCACGUUGAUGCCUUCAAACGAACCAAUAGCAUUUCGGUAAGAAGAAUGGCGCCCAAAAAA